rnacentral:rRNA from 1 species
GCAAGUCGAGGGGCAGCAUAAUGGAUAGCAAUAUCUAUGGUGGCGACCGGCGCACGGGUGCGUAACGCGUAUGCAACCUACCUUUAACAGGGGGAUAACACUGAGAAAUUGGUACUAAUACCCCAUAAUAUCAUAGAAGGCAUCUUUUAUGGUUGAAAAUUCCGAUGGUUAGAGAUGGGCAUGCGUUGUAUUAGCUAGUUGGUGGGGUAACGGCUCACCAAGGCGACGAUACAUAGGGGGACUGAGAGGUUAACCCCCCACACUGGUACUGAGACACGGACCAGACUCCUACGGGAGGCAGCAGUGAGGAAUAUUGGUCAAUGGACGCAAGUCUGAACCAGCCAUGCCGCGUGCAGGAUGACGGCUCUAUGAGUUGUAAACUGCUUUUGUACGAGGGUAAACGCAGAUACGUGUAUCUGUCUGAAAGUAUCGUACGAAUAAGGAUCGGCUAACUCCGUGCCAGCAGCCGCGGUAAUACGGAGGAUUCAAGCGUUAUCCGGAUUUAUUGGGUUUAAAGGGUGCGUAGGCGGUUUGAUAAGUUAGAGGUGAAAUUUCGGGGCUCAACCCUGAACGUGCCUCUAAUACUGUUGAGCUAGAGAGUAGUUGCGGUAGGCGGAAUGUAUGGUGUAGCGGUGAAAUGCUUAGAGAUCAUACAGAACACCGAUUGCGAAGGCAGCUUACCAAACUAUAUCUGACGUUGAGGCACGAAA